rnacentral:rRNA from 1 species
UACGUAGGGGGCAAGCGUUAUCCGGAUUUACUGGGUGUAAAGGGAGCGUAGACGGCUUUGCAAGCCAGAUGUGAAAGCCCGGGGCUCAACCUCGGGACUGCAUUUGGAACUGUAUGGCUGGAGUGUCGGAGAGGCAGGCGGAAUUCCUAGUGUAGCGGUGGAAUGCGUAGAUAUUAGGAGGAACACCAGUGGCGAAGGCGGCCUGCUGGACGAUGACUGACGUUGAGGCUCGAAAGCGUGGGGAGCAAACAGG